GGAUAAUAGUUAAAUAUAACAUUUAAUUUGCAUUUAAAAAGUAUUGCUAGACAAUUUAUCUUA
rnacentral:tRNA from 1 species